GUAGUGACCAGGAGGGCUGACCCGUCGCUUCUCCUAUGACUGAGUGUUCCUCCGCUGGCAGAUUCUGGUCUGAUUAGUGUUUCCAUUGAGCCAUGACAGUGAUCCCUUUCGUGCAUCUUCUCCAUGGCAACUGGUUGGGGACAUGGAUACACAGUUUGAUGCGGUGGCCCCCUGUGAUGCUUUUCCAGCUGAUCUAAAGGAGGUCCCAGAUAUGCUGAGCUCUCAUUGGCCGCUUUUCCUUCACUCUCUGGCCAAACUCCUCCAAAACCAUACCUACUGUGUUGAGUCCAGCUUCUACCCAGCAUCCUUUGCUCUCCUGCAAUCUUUUGCCAAGAGAGGGAAGCAGGUGUGCACAGUGCUAACAACCAGGCUGGCAACGAAAACAAAGAUGCAAGACGUUCCUGACUGUUUUAUAACUUCUGCGUCUUGGGGAACCCAGAGUUUUAGCCAGCGAAUUUGCUCUUCCUGAACCCUGGAGAACACAGUCUGAGAAGAUCAUAGAGAAGCAGACACCUGAGGCUUUGGAAACAUGCUGUAUAGCACAGGGGACUCGAAAGUCAGAAAGAAAUGGAAAUAGGUUUAUACUGCUUAUACUUGAAUAGAGAUUUUUUUAAGUAAUAUAGGAUUUAACCAGAGGUGGGCGACCUCAUCCACAAAAGGGCCAGUGUGUGUGAAGGUUUUUCGGACAACCUUUGGGUUAGCUGUUCAAACCCAGGUGUGAGGGCUCUUGAGCAAAUUAGUCCUCUAAUUUAUAAUCUAAUUAGGGAUUUGCAGCGAAAACCCACAUUCACAACAGUCCUUUCUGGAUAAGAUUGCCCAUCCCUGAUUUAGACCCUUGUGAAGUGUCCCUCAUUCAUAUUCAAUUAUGUGAUACUUCCUUGCCCUAUUCUGCAAAAACAUUUUAUUCACAUCAGUCUGAAAAUAUUCUUGCAAUUUACCCCUUUCAACAUCUAUGACACAUCCGUUAGUCUUAAGAAGUUUAUGGGCGAAAGGGGGGGGAAGGUUAUUUGGACAGGGAUCCAAAAACAUUUUUGUUGUCCAGGAAAAACUUGUUUCAAAAUCAUACAUAAAAGAAUGUUGCUGCGAAAUUUGCAUUUUAAAGAAUCGGUCUUUUAAGAUUUGGAAGCAAUAACCGUCACAUAAAUCUUUAUAUUGUAACAUGAAAAAAGUUUCAUUGCAGAAAAGAUACACUUAAAAUAACUAUAUAUAUAAAACCACAUUAAAACAGUAACAGGAUUAUAGGUAAAAUUGUAAUUUCUUGAUAUGUGACCACACUAUUUUAUUGCUUAUUCCUAAAGGAUUAUGCAAAGACCCCAGUAAUGAUACUUUGUAAUCUACAGUAUAAUCUCAUGGACAAGUCCAUACAUCCAUGCACUUCUCAAGUUGCAGACUUGUGCAAACAUCUCAUCGGAAGGGGCCAGAUCCUUCUCGUUCCCAGAGAAGUGGUAGUCAACAAGCAUUUCUUAUGUAACUUGUGUCAGAAAGGUGAAAGAGUAUGAUCUGGUGUUAGAAGAGAGGCAUUCUUCACGUAGAGUUAGAUCCCACAAAACAAUCCUUCUUUUCUCCAUGCUACAGAUUUGACUUGAUUCAUUGUUGCUGUCAGUUGCUAAGUAUCUCUUUAUCAGCCUUCAGUCUUUCUCAUAUUAUGUCUCUGUUUAAAUAUGCAAGUUCAUAAUCAUUAAUUAGAAAUAUUUUGCAUUUGCCUAUUUUGUUGCUCCUGCUCUCCUGAUACACGUUUGUGCGGGAGACCUUGUGGGAAUCACUCCAGCCUGUGAAGGACUGAGAGCGAAACCUCUUCAUUUGGCAUUAAAGCAGCUGGAAGAGGAGGAUGCUCUGUACGGCUGUGACAGCGACUGCAGCGUAUGAGGGCUGUUUAUUACAGAAUUUAACAACUGACAAUUCUGUUCACCCCAUGGGUCUUUAUUAACAUUGUCCAGUCCGCUCCCAAAUGAACUUUUGGGGGGGGUGGGAUCCGGGGAUGGGGAUGUUUCUGGGGUCACAUUCAAAAAGAGACUUUGGGCCCUCCCACCGCCCCACAAGUGCAGUUACCAUUUGUGGCCAACAGGGGGUGGUAAACAGUUCUAUCAUCAGGGUUGGGGUGUGUGUAUUAUCAUGAAUCCAUUGUACCCUUAAUGCACAUGUGAUGUCCUGAGACAGCAAGCUUGGUGCAUUCGCAUGCGUACUGAAGCGUGCUCUACCUUCCAGAAAAAACACCCCCCCCCCAGAUUAAAUCACAGUGGGCAGGCUGUAAUCAGUGUACACAGAGAUGAGUUAACUUCUUCUCUGAAGCAGAGAAGCUGGUGAGGUAACAGGCCAUUUUUUUGGGAAGUGACCCGCAGGUUGAUUUGGAUGAUAGAAUUACAUAAGAAGAGCUUAAACCGCAGCCGGAGUCAUUGCGGUUUGCCAUUGCUUCUGCUGUUUUGGCAGCAGUCAUUUUAGGUGCAUUUGCAUUUCUAUAUAUGAUGGAUCUACGGGAAAAUAUUUUGAGAGUCAUAUUCAGAUGAGGAACACAGUAUCCAUAUUAAAAACAAAAAGCAGAAAACUCCAUCUGCUUUUUAUUUGUACUUUCAUGCAUAGAUAGGAGUGUAGUAAACGUGAACUUUAAAAACAAGAACUCCCCAUUCAGAAAACGCACUACCAGCGAAUUCUAUUCUGGAAAUGCCAUAAAUUAUACAGUUCUAUCAGGACUAAAACGCAUACUUAACUGCAGCGCAUUACUGAAUAUGUUUCAUCUUCAAUAAAUAAAAGCUCCCUUUCAAACCGCUAAAAUGCUAACCCCGAGUUUAGGACUUAGAGGUUAAAUCGGUGUGUUUUUAAAAAAAAAAAGAGUCCGUGCUGGGUUUGCCGAAUAUGAUGUGCGUGUUAUAUACCACGGUGACAACUGUCCAAAAGCCCCGCUGAAGUCAGAAAGGACUUCACU